CCUACGGGAGGCAGCAGUGGGGAAUAUUGCACAAUGGGGGAAACCCUGAUGCAGCGACGCCGCGUGAGUGAAGAAGUAUUUCGGUACGUAAAGCUGUAUCAGCAGGGAAGAAAAUGACGGUACCUGACUAAGAAGCCCAGGCUAACUACGUGCCAGCAGCCGCGGUAAUACGCAGGGGUCAAGCGAUAUCCGGAUUUACUGGGUGUAAAGGGGGCGUAGGCGGCAGCGCAAGUCUGGAGUGAAAUCCCAUGGCUUAACCAUGGAACUGCUUUGGAGACUGUGCAGCUAGAGUGCAGGAGAGGUAAGCGGAAUUCCUGGUGUAGCGGUGAAAUGCGUAGAUAUUAGGAGGAACACCAAUGGCGAAGGCGGCUUACUGGACUGUAACUGACGUUGAGGCUCGAAAGCGUGGGGAGCAAACAGGAUUAGAUACCCCGGUAGUC
rnacentral:rRNA from 1 species